CCCUAGCUGGUCUGAGAGGAUGAUCAGCCACACUGGGACUGAGACACGGCCCAGACUCCUACGGGAGGCAGCAGUGGGGAAUAUUGCACAAUGGGCGAAAGCCUGAUGCAGCCAUGCCGCGUGUAUGAAGAAGGCCUUCGGGUUGUAAAGUACUUUCAGUUGUGAGGAAGGAUGCGUAGUUAAUAACUGCACAUUUUGACGUUAGCAACAGAAGAAGCACCGGCUAACUCCGUGCCAGCAGCCGCGGUAAUACGGAGGGUGCGAGCGUUAAUCGGAAUUACUGGGCGUAAAGCGCAUGCAGGUGGUUUGUUAAGUCAGAUGUGAAAGCCCGGGGCUCAACCUCGGAAGGUCAUUUGAAACUGGCAAACUAGAGUACUGUAGAGGGGGGUAGAAUUUCAGGUGUAGCGGUGAAAUGCGUAGAGAUCUGAAGGAAUACCGGUGGCGAAGGCGGCCCCCUGGACAGAUACUGACACUCAGAUGCGAAAGCGUGGGUAGCAAACAGGAUUAGAUACCCUGGUAGUCCACGCCGUAAACGAUGUCUACUUGGAGGUUGUUCCCUAGAGGAGUGGCUUUCGGAGCUAACGCGUUAAGUAGACCGCCUGGGGAGUACGGUCGCAAGAUUAAAACUCAAAUGAAUUGACGGGGGCCCGCACAAGCGGUGGAGCAUGUGGUUUAAUUCGAUGCAACGCG
rnacentral:rRNA from 1 species